rnacentral:rRNA from 1 species
UUGAACGCUGGCGGCAGGCCUAACACAUGCAAGUCGAGCGGUAACAUUUCUAGCUUGCUAGAAGAUGACGAGCGGCGGACGGGUGAGUAAUGCUUGGGAACAUGCCUUGAGGUGGGGGACAACAGUUGGAAACGACUGCUAAUACCGCAUAAUGUCUACGGACCAAAGGGGGCUUCGGCUCUCGCCUUUAGAUUGGCCCAAGUGGGAUUAGCUAGUUGGUGAGGUAAUGGCUCACCAAGGCGACGAUCCCUAGCUGGUUUGAGAGGAUGAUCAGCCACACUGGGACUGAGACACGGCCCAGACUCCUACGGGAGGCAGCAGUGGGGAAUAUUGCACAAUGGGCGCAAGCCUGAUGCAGCCAUGCCGCGUGUGUGAAGAAGGCCUUCGGGUUGUAAAGCACUUUCAGUCAGGAGGAAAGGUUAGUAGUUAAUACCUGCUAGCCGUGACGUUACUGACAGAAGAAGCACCGGCUAACUCCGUGCCAGCCGCC